rnacentral:tRNA from 1 species
GCCCUCGUAGCGUAGUGGAUAACGCAUCAGUCUUCUAAACUGACAUACCUUGGUUCGAUUCCAAGCGAGGGCG